rnacentral:rRNA from 1 species
CCACGCCGUAAACGAUGGAUGCUAGAUGUCGGGACGUAUGUCUCGGUGUCGUAGUUAACGCGUUAAGCAUCCCGCCUGGGGAGUACGGUCGCAAGGCUGAAACUCAAAGAAAUUGACGGGGGCCCGCACAAGCGGUGGAGUAUGUGGUUUAAUUCGAUGCAACGCGAAGAACCUUACCUAGGUUUGACAUCUGGGGAAUCCUCCCGAAAAGGAGGAGUGCCCUUCGGGGAACCUCAAGACAGGUGCUGCAUGGCUGU